rnacentral:rRNA from 1 species
GAUGAACGCUGGCGGCGUGCCUAAUACAUGCAAGUCGAGCGAACGGACGAGAAGCUUGCUUCUCUGAUGUUAGCGGCGGACGGGUGAGUAACACGUGGAUAACCUACCUAUAAGACUGGGAUAAAUUCGGGAAACCGGAGCUAAUACCGGAUAAUAUUUUGAACCGCAGGGUUCAAAAGUGAAAGACGGUCUUGCUGUCACUUAUAGAUGGAUCCGCGCUGCAUUAGCUAGUUGGUAAGGUAACGGCUUACCAAGGCAACGAUGCAUAGCCGACCUGAGAGGGUGAUCGGCCACACUGGAACUGAGACACGGUCCAGACUCCUACGGGAGGCAGCAGUAGGGAAUCUUCCGCAAUGGGCGAAAGCCUGACGGAGCAACGCCGCGUGAGUGAUGAAGGUCUUCGGAUCGUAAAACUCUGUUAUUAGGGAAGAACAUAUGUGUAAGUAACUGUGCACAUCUUGACGGUACCUAAUCAGAAAGCCCCGGCUAACUACGUG